rnacentral:rRNA from 1 species
AACGAACGCUGGCGGCAUGCCCAACACAUGCAAGUCGAACGAGACCUUCGGGUCUAGUGGCGCACGGGUGCGUAACGCGUGGGAACCUGCCCUUAGGUUCGGAAUAACUCCCCGAAAGGGGUGCUAAUACCGGAUAAUGUCUUCGGACCAAAGAUUUAUCGCCUUUGGAUGGGCCCGCGUUGGAUUAGCUAGUUGGUAGGGUAAAAGCCUACCAAGGCGACGAUCCAUAGCUGGUCUGAGAGGAUGAUCAGCCACACUGGGACUGAGACACGGCCCAGACUCCUACGGGAGGCAGCAGUGGGGAAUAUUGGUCAAUGGGCGAAAGCCUGAUCCAGCAAUGCCGCGUGAGUGAUGAAGGCCUUAGGGUUGUAAAGCUCUUUUACCCGGGAUGAUAAUGACAGUACCGGGAGAAUAAGCUCCGGCUAACUCCGUG